rnacentral:rRNA from 1 species
AGAGUUUGAUCAUGGCUCAGGAUGAACGCUGGCGGCGUGCCUAAAACAUGCAAGUCGAACGGACUCUUUUAGGUAUUUAGUAUCUAGUAUGAGGUAUUUAGUAUUAGCGGCAUCUGAUACUUGAUACUUAAUACUAGAUACCAAAUACUUCUAAGAGUUAGUGGCGGACGGGUGAGUAACACGUUGGUACCUACCCCGAAGUGGGGAAUAACUGCCCGAAAGGGUGGCUAAUACCGCAUAAUACCGCAAGGUUAAAGCAGUAAUGCGCUUCGGGAGGGGCCUGCGUCCCAUUAGCUAGUUGGUAGGGUAAAGGCCUACCAAGGCGACGAUGGGUAGCUGGUUCGAGAGGAUGAUCAGCCACACUGGGACUGAGAUACGGCCCAGACUCCUACGGGAGGCAGCAGUUAGGAAUCUUCCACAAUGGACGAAAGUCUGAUGGAGCAACGCCGCGUGCAGGAUGACGGCCUUCGGGUUGUAAACUGCUUUUAUAUGGGAAGAUUGUGACGGUACCAUAUGAAUAAGGACCGGCUAACUACGUGCCAGCAGCCGCGGUAAUACGUAGGGUCCAAGCGUUAUCCGGAAUCACUGGGCGUAAAGCGUGUGUAGGUGGAAGUUUAAGUGAGGGGUUAAAUCGUGUGGCUCAACCAUAUCGAUGCUCUUCAUACUGGACUCUAGAGGACGGCAAGAGGCAAGUGGAAUUAGCAGUGUAGCAGUGAAAUGCGUAGAGAUUGCUAGGAACACCAAUGGCGAAGGCAGCUUGCUGGGCCACUCCUGACACUCAAGGACAACGGAAAGCGUGGGGAGCGAACAGGAUUAGAUACCCCCGUAGUCC